rnacentral:rRNA from 1 species
AGGAUUCCCCUAGUAACGGCGAGUGAAGAGGGAAAAGCCCAGCACCGAAGCCUGCGGCAGAUUUGCUGUUAGGCAAUGUGGUGUUUGGGUCGGCUUGAGGGACCACCACUCCACUCGAAGUCCAGCAUUGAGUAUGGUUACUGGAUUUGGCCCAGAGAGGGUGAAAGGCCCGUACGGUGGAGUAUCAGACAUGUGAGGUGGUUCACUAGGUCGGCCUUAGAGUCGGGUUGUUUGGGAAUGCAGCCCAAAGUGGGUGGUAAACUCCAUCCAAGGCUAAAUACAAGCACGAGUCCGAUAGCGAACAAGUACCGUGAGGGAAAGUUGAAAAGUACUCUGAAGAGAGAGUAAACAGUACGUGAAACCGCAUGCAGGUAAACGGGUGGCGUCAAGCUGCAAGCCCGGAGAAUUCAGUCGGCUAGGUUGUUGUGUAUGCGCCUGGCGCAUCCAUCAGUCAGAGUAUGAUUGGGUAGUCCACUAGUAAACAGUGGGCCUGUCCGCAAGGGCAGGAUAUGUGUACCGGGUGGGUGCCGGAGCAUGCUAUCCGUCUGAGGACUGUCUAGCCGGUGCACUUUCUCCGUGGUUAACACCACGACCGGUGGUAUUGCCAGUCUACUGUGUCCAAGUCGUAUUUGGUAGGUCCUUGUGGCCAACCGAGUGCGAUCACAGGCAAACUCAGUAAACGGCGUGAGGGUGUUUCGGCACUUUCAUGUGUUAUCGGCUACUGGUUGUCAACGGGCCUGCUCAGUGUUUGUUGUAACCGACACAGGGUGGUCCGGUGGGGCAUGGUGGUAAGAAUAACUGUGCAAGGCACUGGGGUUAUCGGCCUCAAAUGCGCCCUGCGUCCACGUUACAAGUGUGUAGGUACUUUGUCGCUGCUGCCUGCUCGGUGCUGGGUGUGAUUGGCGUGUUGCCUGCGAAAAGUAGGCCCGCUAAUGGCUCGGUUCGAGGUGGGUAGUUGGCGGCGUUGUUGACGGCGUGGGGCGUGGUGGGCCUAAU